AGAAUCAACGCUGGCGGCGUGCCUAACACAUGCAAGUCGAACGAGAAAGUGGAGCAAUCCAUGAGUAAAGUGGCGCACGGGUGAGUAACACGUGACUAACCUACCCUUGAGUGGGGGAUAACCUAGAGAAAUCUGGGCUAAUACCGCAUAAUACCUUCGGGUCAAAGGAGCAAUUCGCUUAAGGAGGGGGUCGCGGCCGAUUAGUUAGUUGGCGGGUAAUGGCCCACCAAGACUGUGAUCGGUAUCC
rnacentral:rRNA from 1 species